CCCCGCAGAGAUCGUCUUUCUUGCGGGCUGUCACGCCCACCGCUGUACCGGCCAACCAGGCCGACAUCAUCUUCGACAUCACAGAGGGGAACCUUCGCAGGACUCCUUUGACAUCAUCAAACGCUACAUGGAUGGCAUGACUGUGGGUGUCGUACGCCAAGUGCGGCCCAUCGUGGGCCCAUUCCACGCUGUCCUGAAGCUGGAGAUGAACUACGUGGUCGGGGGUGUGGUCUCCCACCGAAACGUCGUCAACGUCCACAUCUUUGUCUCGGAGUACUGGUUCUGAGGGCAGGGCCACAGCGCAGCCAAGGGCACCCAGGCCAAAUCCCAGCUCCCAAGGACUUCUCUGUACCUGGCUGUUCUGCUCAGGCAGUUCUUAUGUCAUGUAUUGGUUUGUAGUGUUAGGCUCAGGUGUAUUACACUGAGCCGGGUGAAUCCAUCCAUCUAAUGUAUCUGAUGUUUAAAUAAUGUAUACAGUUGCUCAGCUAUUUAGAUGAAAACCUUGUUUAUAUUUUUUUAAUGCAAAGGCUAAAUUUUGCUCCUUCUCUGCCUGUGGGAUGGGCCUUGCCCACAGGAUCAAGCAAAGAAAGACAUUUUUCAAAGGGACAACCAGGCAUCCAAAGGCCAAGAGAAGGCCAGUUCUUUGCCCUAAUUAUAUGAAGUUUGACAUUUUAAUACCUUUUUUUGCCAGUCAGAUAUACAUGCUCCAAGUUCAGGGCUGGGAACAGUAGCACCUACACAUACACCCCAUUUUGCCCAGAAGCAGCAUGGCAGUGAUAGCCCUGGCUCUUAGAUGGCAAACUGCAGUUCUGUUGACAGGCAGAAAAAUCUCUUGAGAAAGACACAGGCCGCUGGGUUGGGUUUGGCCUCAGUGUACACAGUGACCUGGCUGGGUUCCUCUGCACCCUGCACCCACCUUUCCUACAGAUGAAAAAUAAACAACUUUGUAGGAUCUCCAGAUGCCCUGUGCAUGGGAGUCUUUCAAGAAUGAGCUCCCAGCUGGUCAUGGUGGUGUGAAUCUGUAAUCCCAGCACUGGGGAGGCUGAGGCAGGAGGAUUGCAAUGAUUGUGAGGCCAUUUUGGGCUACAUAACAAGUUCGAAGCCAGCCUGAACUAUCGAGUGUGACCCUGUCUAAAAAAAAGUCUCAGUUACUUUUCUUGUUACUGAAACAAAAUACCUGAUACCCUGAAGUUAAAGGAGGAAAGGUUUAUAUCAGCUCACAGUUUGUAAAGGUCUCAGUCCAUAGUCACCUGGCUCCAAGGCAGGGAAGCAUGACAGAGGGGCAUACAGAGAGAAAGUUCGUGGUGUGGCAGGCAGAAGGCAGCAAGCAGCAGCAGCAGCCACCACCACAGCCUUUCGUUUUUCCCUUUUAUUCCAUUCAGGCUACCAGCCUUUUGGGUGGUGCCAUCCACACCCAGGGUAGGGCUUCAAUUAUCCACACCCUUAAUCCCAGUAUCAUCCUAGAUCCAGCCAGCUCUGAAAAGCCCCACCUAUGAGCCCAUAAGUCUUUGGGGAGACAUCUAGACACAAGCCAUAAGAAAAAAGAAAAGAAAGGAAAAGAAGAAUAGGCUUCUGCUAGGUCAGUCCUCUAAUAGCAAAGAGACUAGGAAUCUCCAUUUCAAAAGCCAUUCCAAAGCCCUUUCUGCCCAGCUUGUAUAUUGGAAAAACUUCUUUGCACCUCAUUUCCAACACCAUGUUGCCUUGUUUUCUAUUGCUGUAAUAAAAUACCCAAGACCAGGUAAUUUAUAAAGAAUUGAAGUUAUUUGGUUCAUGGUUCUGGAGGCCGAGAAGUCCAAGGGCAUGGUCCCGCAUCUGCUCAGCAUCUGGCAAGGGCCUUGUGCUGCAUCACAGUAUGGCAGGGGACAUCACAUGGAAAGACAGAGCAAGUGCACUAGCUUCUGUGUCUCUUCCUCUUCCUAUAAAGUCACUAAGGGCAUCAUGGAGACCCUGUCCUCAUGACUCCGUGGACCCUGGCCACCUCUCAAAGGCCCCACCUCCAAAUCCCAUUAACAUAUGAGUCUGGGAAUUCAGUUUCCAAACGUGAACUUCUGGGGGACACAAAGCCCUGCACAUGCCCCACCUCAAGAAGUGUGGCAAGUCUGCUGCACACCCCACAUCCGGCCCUGCUAGGCAGAUCACAUGGCUGUGGCAUCUCCAUGACCUCCGGGGUGUCCAUCAGGCCCUCUGAUCCUCUCUGGGAAUCACUGUGGAGACAGGGGCUCUUCAGUAAGGAGUGAGGGCUGCUGUCCACACAGUCCCUGCUAUAUGCUGUGCUCAUGCCAGGCACUUGGCCAAAGUGCCCAGUGAUAUGGACAUGACUAGGCCCAACAUCUAGAGAGGAAAACUGGGACUCACAGAGGAGAAUUCAAUUGCCAAAAGUCACAUAGCUUUAUAGGGACAAAGGUGCUAAAAUGGGGAUUCAAAUUCAGGUUGUGUGACUAAACCAGUGACGGUGAACCUUUGAGAGUUUCCAAUGAUAGAAACAGCCCGCUGCAACAUGCUUGCCAUAGGUUCACCACCACUACUUCUAACUGUGUCAGAACAGACAUGGAUGCACUGAGCUUCCUGGGUGAGCUGACACCACCAUUGGCCUGAGUUGAAGGCCUGGAGUUUCCAACACCCCAAGGCUACUGAGACCUGCAAGACUCAGUAUCCAGGCGCCAUCUUCCCACAGUGCUCUCCUCCAGACCCUCCCCUGGUGAAUCUCUUGCCAGGCAUAGACUUCACCCACACUCUCUCGGCCUGGGCCUAAGUGCCACUCAGCAGUCUGGAUGCUGGACCUGGCUCAGAUCACAGCCCAUGCCUGGACUUCACUGUCACUGUAGUUUUGCUGUGGGUGAUGUUGGGUAACACCACUCAGUACCACUCUGAAGGGCAUGGUCUUGGCCACCUUUGGGAGCCCCAGAGUUUCUGAGGUCAUUCAUUUCAGGCAGUGGUCAGUCCAAGCCAGGCUGAACCAGCCAGGCACAGGACUUCUGAGGCCUUGGGAGCAUGAGUAGUGGGAAGGAAUAAACCUUGUGAGGGGCCGGAAGGUAUAGGAAGCCACAUCCAGUAUCUAAACUGCUCUCCGGCCUAGGAACUGGAGUGCUGGCAGAGAAGCAGAAAUGGAAACCUCAAAGGCUAGGGGUAGGACAUGGGAAGCAUGUGUGGCCCAAAAGCCUAGCAGCAGCCUGGGUAGGGACAAAUCUGCAGCAGCCAGGUGGUUCUGGGCCAGAUUCUUCAAUCACUUAGGUGAUUACUGGAGCUUUCUCAUUCCUGAGGGCUGACUGGGCUGGGAGAAUUCCUGGCUGAUUCUGGGAAAGGACACUUAAAUUCUCUCAGUAGGAAUUGAGUGGGGGCUACCUUUGGUGGGCAGAGCCACGCCUCUUGAUAUUGAUUGGCUCUUAGAUGAGCAUAUGACUCAAAACAGCCAAUCAGAGCCAUACCUCCUCGUGUUGAUUGGCUCUCAGGUGAGCGUGUGACCCAAAACAGCCAAUCAGGGCCUUUCCGGAGGGGACCCUUCAGUCCCAGGUCAGUGAGGGCUGGGUACUGCUAUGUUGGGGACCAGAGAGCAAGAGAGGAGACUGAAGCCUGGCCCUACAGUGCCAGUGUCUGAGCCUCAGUUUCUGCAUCUCAAGGUGGAGACAGUAAGCCUGCUAUGGCAGUGAGAAACCCUCCAGAUUAUGAGGACAUAAGAGCUUGCAAACUGUAAAGUGCAGCACAUGUGUGAGAGCUCUCAUCAUUAACCAUAAAAGUAAUGGCAAUGAUUAGUGCCACUGCUGAUUAAGCCUCAUGAUUGUGCUCCAGAGGGCUGGUGUCUUUCCAAUCCUACAUUUCCAUUUCUUCAUCAUCUGUGAGAGACUCAGCAGACAGGUGUAUAAUUACACAGAAUGCUAAAUUUUUCACAUUUCCUCUCACUUCAUGUUGGCCACCUGAUGGACUGAGAAGUGUUCAUUUUUCUUUCAAAGAAACUACUGUCAGGGUCAGCUAACAACAGCUGGAGGUGCUUAUGGGUCCCUAACAACAAUUACCCCCACCUCUUUUUGAGAUAAGAUCUUAUGUAGUUCAGGCAGCCCUUGAACUCACUAGAUAGUCCAGGCUGGCUUUGAACUCCCUGCAAUUCUCCUGCCUCAGCCUCCUGAGUGUUGAGAUUACAGUUAUGCCUCUGUGUGUGUGUGUGUGUGUGUGUGUGUGUGUGUGUGUGUGUGUGUG
ensembl:lncRNA